rnacentral:rRNA from 1 species
GAAACUAACAAGGAUUCCCCUAGUAGCGGCGAGCGAAGCGGGAAGAGCUCAAAUUUAUAAUCUGGCACCUUCGGUGUCCGAGUUGUAAUCUCUAGAAAUGUUUUCCGCGUUGGACCGCACACAAGUCUGUUGGAAUACAGCGGCAUAGUGGUGAGACCCCCGUAUAUGGUGCGGACGCCCAGCGCUUUGUGAUACAUUUUCGAAGAGUCGAGUUGUUUGGGAAUGCAGCUCAAAUUGGGUGGUAAAUUCCAUCUAAAGCUAAAUAUUGGCGAGAGACCGAUAGCGAACAAGUACCGUGAGGGAAAGAUGAAAAGCACUUUGGAAAGAGAGUUAACAGUACGUGAAAUUGUUGGAAGGGAAACGCUUGAAGUCAGACUUGCUUGCCGAGCAAUCGGUUUGCAGGCCAGCAUCAGUUUUCCGGGAUGGAUAAUGGUAGAGAGAAGGUAGCAGUUUCGGCUGUGUUAUAGCUCUCUGCUGGAUACAUCUUGGGGGACUGAGGAACGCAGUGUGCCUUUGGCGGGGGUUUCGACCUCUUCACAC